rnacentral:rRNA from 1 species
CCUACGGGUGGCAGCAGUGAGGAAUAUUGGUCAAUGGACGAGAGCCUGAACCAGCCAAGUCGCGUGAGGGAGGAAGGUCCUGAGGGUCGUAAACCUCUUUUGUCAGGGAAUAAAGCCUGGCACGUGUCCCUUUAUGAGUGUACCUGAUGAAAAAGCAUCGGCUAACUCCGUGCCAGCAGCCGCGGUACUACGGAGGAUCCGAGCGUUAACCGGUUUUAUUGGGUUUAAAGGGAGCGGAGGUGGGGUGUUCAGUCAGUUGUGAAAGUGAGGGGGUCAACCGCAGCAGGGCAUUUGAUACUGGCAGUCUUGAGUACAGUAGAGGUAGGCGGAAUUCGUGGUGUAGCGGUGAAAUGCAUAGAUAUCACGCAGAACCCCGAUUGCGAAGGCAGCAUGCUGGCCUGUCACUGACGCUGAGGCACGAAAGCGUGGGUAGCGAACAGGAUUAGAUACCCGAGUAGUC